AUUGAACGCUGGCGGCAUGCUUUACACAUGCAAGUCGAACGGUAACAGCACUUCGGUGGCUGACGAGUGGCGAACGGGUGAGUAAUACAUCGGAACGUGCCUAGUAGUGGGGGAUAACUACUCGAAAGAGUAGCUAAUACCGCAUGAGAUCUAAGGAUGAAAGCAGGGGACCUUCGGGCCUUGCGCUACUAGAGCGGCUGAUGGCAGAUUAGGUAGUUGGUGGGAUAAAAGAUUACCAAGCCGACGAUCUGUAGCUGGUCUGAGAGGACGACCAGCCACACUGGGACUGAGAAACGGCCCAGACCCCUACCGGAGGCAGCAGUGGGGAAUUUUGGACAAUGGGCGCAAGCCUGAUCCAGCAAUGCCGCGUGCAGGAUGAAGGCCUUCGGGUUGUAAACUGCUUUUGUACGGAACGAAAAGCCCUCUUCUAAUACAGGAGGGUCAUGACGGUACCGUAAGAAUAAGCACCGGCUAACUACGUG
rnacentral:rRNA from 1 species